AGCGUACACGGUGGAUGCCCUGGCAGUCAGAGGCGAUGAAGGACGUGCUAAUCUGCGAUAAGCGUCGGUAAGGUGAUAUGAACCGUUAUAACCGGCGAUUUCCGAAUGGGGAAACCCAGUGUGUUUCGACACACUAUCAUUAACUGAAUCCAUAGGUUAAUGAGGCGAACCGGGGGAACUGAAACAUCUAAGUACCCCGAGGAAAAGAAAUCAACCGAGAUUCCCCCAGUAGCGGCGAGCGAACGGGGAGCAGCCCAGAGCCUGAAUCAGUGUGUGUGUUAGUGGAAGCGUCUGGAAAGGCGCGCGAUACAGGGUGACAGCCCCGUACACAAAAAUGCACAUGCUGUGAGCUCGAUGAGUAGGGCGGGACACGUGGUAUCCUGUCUGAAUAUGGGGGGACCAUCCUCCAAGGCUAAAUACUCCUGACUGACCGAUAGUGAACCAGUACCGUGAGGGAAAGGCGAAAAGAACCCCGGCGAGGGGAGUGAAAAAGAACCUGAAACCGUGUACGUACAAGCAGUGGGAGCACGCUUCGGCGUGUGACUGCGUACCUUUUGUAUAAUGGGUCAGCGACUUAUAUUCUGUAGCAAGGUUAACCGAAUAGGGGAGCCGAAGGGAAACCGAGUCUUAACUGGGCGUUAAGUUGCAGGGUAUAGACCCGAAACCCGGUGAUCUAGCCAUGGGCAGGUUGAAGGUUGGGUAACACUAACUGGAGGACCGAACCGACUAAUGUUGAAAAAUUAGCGGAUGACUUGUGGCUGGGGGUGAAAGGCCAAUCAAACCGGGAGAUAGCUGGUUCUCCCCGAAAGCUAUUUAGGUAGCGCCUCGUGAAUUCAUCUCCGGGGGUAGAGCACUGUUUCGGCAAGGGGGUCAUCCCGACUUACCAACCCGAUGCAAACUGCGAAUACCGGAGAAUGUUAUCACGGGAGACACACGGCGGGUGCUAACGUCCGUCGUGAAGAGGGAAACAACCCAGACCGCCAGCUAAGGUCCCAAAGUCAUGGUUAAGUGGGAAACGAUGUGGGAAGGCCCAGACAGCCAGGAUGUUGGCUUAGAAGCAGCCAUCAUUUAAAGAAAGCGUAAUAGCUCACUGGUCGAGUCGGCCUGCGCGGAAGAUGUAACGGGGCUAAACCAUGCACCGAAGCUGCGGCAGCGACGCUGAUGCGUUGUUGGGUAGGGGAGCGUUCUGUAAGCCUGCGAAGGUGUGCUGUGAGGCAUGCUGGAGGUAUCAGAAGUGCGAAUGCUGACAUAAGUAACGAUAAAGCGGGUGAAAAGCCCGCUCGCCGGAAGACCAAGGGUUCCUGUCCAACGUUAAUCGGGGCAGGGUGAGUCGACCCCUAAGGCGAGGCCGAAAGGCGUAGUCGAUGGGAAACAGGUUAAUAUUCCUGUACUUGGUGUUACUGCGAAGGGGGGACGGAGAAGGCUAUGUUGGCCGGGCGACGGUUGUCCCGGUUUAAGCGUGUAGGCUGGUUUUCCAGGCAAAUCCGGAAAAUCAAGGCUGAGGCGUGAUGACGAGGCACUACGGUGCUGAAGCAACAAAUGCCCUGCUUCCAGGAAAAGCCUCUAAGCAUCAGGUAACAUCAAAUCGUACCCCAAACCGACACAGGUGGUCAGGUAGAGAAUACCAAGGCGCUUGAGAGAACUCGGGUGAAGGAACUAGGCAAAAUGGUGCCGUAACUUCGGGAGAAGGCACGCUGAUAUGUAGGUGAGGUCCCUCGCGGAUGGAGCUGAAAUCAGUCGAAGAUACCAGCUGGCUGCAACUGUUUAUUAAAAACACAGCACUGUGCAAACACGAAAGUGGACGUAUACGGUGUGACGCCUGCCCGGUGCCGGAAGGUUAAUUGAUGGGGUCAGCCGCAAGGCGAAGCUCUUGAUCGAAGCCCCGGUAAACGGCGGCCGUAACUAUAACGGUCCUAAGGUAGCGAAAUUCCUUGUCGGGUAAGUUCCGACCUGCACGAAUGGCGUAAUGAUGGCCAGGCUGUCUCCACCCGAGACUCAGUGAAAUUGAACUCGCUGUGAAGAUGCAGUGUACCCGCGGCAAGACGGAAAGACCCCGUGAACCUUUACUAUAGCUUGACACUGAACAUUGAGCCUUGAUGUGUAGGAUAGGUGGGAGGCUUAGAAGUGUGGACGCCAGUCUGCAUGGAGCCGACCUUGAAAUACCACCCUUUAAUGUUUGAUGUUCUAACGUUGACCCGUAAUCCGGGUUGCGGACAGUGUCUGGUGGGUAGUUUGACUGGGGCGGUCUCCUCCUAAAGAGUAACGGAGGAGCACGAAGGUUGGCUAAUCCUGGUCGGACAUCAGGAGGUUAGUGCAAUGGCAUAAGCCAGCUUGACUGCGAGCGUGACGGCGCGAGCAGGUGCGAAAGCAGGUCAUAGUGAUCCGGUGGUUCUGAAUGGAAGGGCCAUCGCUCAACGGAUAAAAGGUACUCCGGGGAUAACAGGCUGAUACCGCCCAAGAGUUCAUAUCGACGGCGGUGUUUGGCACCUCGAUGUCGGCUCAUCACAUCCUGGGGCUGAAGUAGGUCCCAAGGGUAUGGCUGUUCGCCAUUUAAAGUGGUACGCGAGCUGGGUUUAGAACGUCGUGAGACAGUUCGGUCCCUAUCUGCCGUGGGCGCUGGAGAACUGAGGGGGGCUGCUCCUAGUACGAGAGGACCGGAGUGGACGCAUCACUGGUGUUCGGGUUGUCAUGCCAAUGGCACUGCCCGGUAGCUAAAUGCGGAAGAGAUAAGUGCUGAAAGCAUCUAAGCACGAAACUUGCCCCGAGAUGAGUUCUCCCUGACUCCUUGA
rnacentral:rRNA from 1 species